GUGGGGAAUAUUGGACAAUGGGCGCAAGCCUGAUCCAGCCAUGCCGCGUGAGUGAUGAAGGCCUUAGGGUUGUAAAGCUCUUUCAGUGGGGACGAUAAUGACGGUACCCACAGAAGAAGCCCCGGCUAACUUCGUGCCAGCAGCCGCGGUAAUACGAAGGGGGCUAGCGUUGUUCGGAUUUACUGGGCGUAAAGCGCACGUAGGCGGAUCGUUAAGUCGGGGGUGAAAUCCUGGAGCUCAACUCCAGAACUGCCUUCGAUACUGGCGAUCUUGAGUCCGGAAGAGGUGAGUGGAACUCCUAGUGUAGAGGUGGAAUUCGUAGAUAUUAGGAAGAACACCAGUGGCGAAGGCGGCUCACUGGUCUGGUACUGACGCUGAGGUGCGAAAGCGUGGGGAGCAAACAGGAUUAGAUACCCCGGUAGUCC
rnacentral:rRNA from 1 species